ACUGCAGUCGAGCGCAGGAAGCAAGCUGAUCCCCUUCGGGGGUGACGCUUGUGGAAUGAGCGGCGGACGGGUGAGUAACACGUGGGCAACCUGCCUGUAAGACUGGGAUAACCCCGGGAAACCGGGGCUAAUACCGGAUAAUACUUUCUUUUGCAUAAAGGAAAGUUGAAAGGCGGCUUCGGCUGUCACUUACAGAUGGGCCCGCGGCGCAUUAGCUAGUUGGUGAGGUAACGGCUCACCAAGGCGACGAUGCGUAGCCGACCUGAGAGGGUGAUCGGCCACACUGGGACUGAGACACGGCCCAGACUCCUACGGGAGGCAGCAGUAGGGAAUCUUCCGCAAUGGACGAAAGUCUGACGGAGCAACGCCGCGUGAGUGAUGAAGGUUUUCGGAUCGUAAAACUCUGUUGUUAGGGAAGAACAAGUUGGGUAGUAACUGACCCAACCUUGACGGUACCUAACCAGAAAGCCACGGCUAACUACGUGCCAGCAGCCGCGGUAAUACGUAGGUGGCAAGCGUUGUCCGGAAUUAUUGGGCGUAAAGCGCUCGCAGGCGGUCCUUUAAGUCUGAUGUGAAAUCUCGCGGCUCAACCGCGAACGGUCAUUGGAAACUGGAGGACUUGAGUACAGAAGAGGAGAGUGGAAUUCCACGUGUAGCGGUGAAAUGCGUAGAGAUGUGGAGGAACACCAGUGGCGAAGGCGACUCUCUGGUCUGUAACUGACGCUGAGGAGCGAAAGCGUGGGGAGCGAACAGGAUUAGAUACCCUGGUAGUCCACGCCGUAAACGAUGAGUGCUAGG
rnacentral:rRNA from 1 species